rnacentral:lncRNA from 1 species
GAUUUCGUCGGGUCCUAUAAAACGUGGGCAAUGUGACCAUCUAUUUCCCCCCACCAAUGUGCCCACCGAUGUGUGGGUGUGUGAGCCCCGCCGCCACGCCAUUAGCCACCGCAGACGACUCGAGCUGGCGCCCUAAUUCUUGGUAAAACGUGUCUGCUGCCGCUCGGGGUACGGGAUCGGACCUAAGAGCUUCGUGAAGCUUCUCAGAUCAUGAACGUCGCAAUUCCUGGGCGGAUUGCACUCCGGGCCACCGGGAAUUGCUCGCCGGAGCAAUUCCUCCGCCGCGGGAAGACCCCCUAGCGCGGACCAUCUCCUCUGCGUCACCAUACUAGGUACGAACCAUCCCCAUUCGUUUCGCCCUCGUGUCCGCGAUAUGUUGCACCUUCCGGUAUGGAUUAUGGUGCUCGGGGCGGGAUUUGGCCGUUGCCGGCGAAGUGCCGCCGGGUAGACUAUGUGCGCCGCCGUAUCUGGCCACUGUCUUCGGUCGAAUGGGUAGAAUGGGGUGCGAACUGUUGGAUCAUCAACAAAGGGAGCAAAUUAGGGGAACCGUUAAUCUCGGAUGAACGCUCUAGAUCAUAUCGUAACAUACUAAAGUGUCCGGGCAGAUUGGGAUCGUUGAUGAACGAUCGUGGGUCUUGGGCACCUUGUGCGAUCUCAGCCGUUGAUCUUGAAUCCUGGGGGCCUAGUCCCGUACCGGUUCGUUUAAGUUACAUUUAAUCUGGGCCUUCAGUGCUCGAUCCUGCGGCUGUGAUCUACCCAUACCCCUUCACUGUGACUUUUAGCUAAAAAGACCCUAGGUUUAUGUGAAUUCAAGACCGCCGUCCAUAUACGAAUUAAAAUAAAUAGAAUUAAAUCAGGACUUUGCAAAGACACCCCUGGGACUUAUGUUGAGAUAUAAAAUCAUUAGUAAAAUACCUAGAAACUUUGUAUUUCAUAACUUUAGCAUUUUAACUCUGCUUUUGUUCGUUCAAGUUGCGUUAGUUUCUCAAUAAAAUUUACUACACAGUGACAAACCUUAUUUUGUCAAAUCACACACUUUUAUGGUUAGGUAUUUAUUUAUCCUAUAUAGAGUAGAUUAAUCUUUUAUCUAAGUAAUCUGACUAUAAAUAUAAGUUGACCAGUAGAUGAUCUCUAAUAAAGUUAUAGUUUAGAUUAAAAUUGAAUUAAUAAUUUCUUAGAUUAUCUUUCUCACAUAAUUGGUAGAAAAAAAUUAAGGCCUAGUGUUAAUUAUUUAAAUCACUAAAAUCUUCCGAAAACCAUAUCUUCUUAACCGUAACUCCGAUUUUAGUGGUUCUUGAGCCUACGAUCUCGUAGCACCGCGUAGAAUAUUUUACGCUGUUUGUUCUCAUGUUUGGUGUACUGUUAUUUUUAUGUGAUCCUUGUCUAUUUGUAUGUAUUGCUACGAAUAGCGGUGAGGUCACAGAACCUGAAGAUCAACUUGGUACCUAGGAUCUCGAGUCUAAGGCAAGUUGUACCCUUGAUCACUUCUAUUACCCAAUAAUGUUCCUAUUAGUCAUUAUGAUCUUUAUAGGUUAAUUUUGAUGGGACCCAAUAGGUCACCCCAGUUUGGCUAUCUUUAUACCUUAUUUACCACUGAACUUUUGGGUAGUACCUGCUAUUGCUUUAUGUGGUUUUGAGUGUUAAGAUACACAUUAUUCAUGAUCAUGAUUUUAUUAUAAAUGAGUUAUUUACUGUUUAUGACAAGAUCAUUGUGUUAAUUGGAACAUGGAGAACCACCUAGGAAAAUAGUGCUACCACAAGGGUGGUAUGGGACGCCCUUGGCUGACUAAUUAGAAAAGCUAGUAGAGGACUACCUUACCCAAAAGGGGCAAGGGCAGUAGGGGAGUGGUCGGUAUAGGGAAGUUCUCGGGUUGAUUUUGCUGUGAUGGAUUUUUAGACAGGGGAUUCCUAUGCUACGCUCCCUAGAACUGUAGUGGGUUUUCUGAAGCUAGUGGAACUUUGUAAAGGCCCCGUAGUGUUACCCUGCCUCGCUUCCUUGAUAGAGGUGUAUGAGAUUCAUGAGCCCAUGGUAGAUGGGUGUCGGGGACCAUAAUUAGGGGUACCCCCAAGACUCCUAAUCUCAGCUGGUAACCCCCAUCAGCACAAAGCUGCAAAGGCCUGAUGGGUGCGAUUAAGUCAAGGCUCGGUCCACUCAAGGGACGCGAUCUCGCCUCGCCCGAGCCCAGCCUCGGGCAAGGGCAGCCGACCUGGAGGAUUCACGUCUCGCGCGAGGGCCCCCUCAAGCAAUGGAUACACCUUCAGCUCGCUCGAGGCCCAGUCUCCGCCAAGAAGCAACCUUGGCCGGAUCGUCACACCGACCGACCGUGUCGCAGGAGCAUUUAAUGCAAAGGUGGCCUGACACCUUAUCCUGACACACGGCCUUCAGUUGACUGAGCCGAAGUGACCGCAGUCACUUCGCCGCUCCACUGACCGGCCUGACAAGAAGACAGUGCCGCCCGCGUCGCUCCGACUGCUGUGCCACUCGACGGAGUGAGGCUGACAGCGGCCAAGUCCGGCCUCGGGCGCCAUAGGAAGCUCCGCCUCGCCCGACCCCAGGGCUCGGACUCGGGCUCGGCCCUGGAAGACGACGAAUUCUGCCUCGCCCGACCCCAGGGCUCGGCCCCGGAAGACGACGAACUCCGCCUCGCCCGACCCCAGGGCUCGGACUCGGCCCCGGAAGACGACGAACUCCGCCUCGCCCGACCCCAGGGCUCGGACUCGGCCUCGGCCCCGGAAGACAACGAACUCCGCCUCGCCCGACCCAGGGGCUCGGACUCGACCUCGACCUCGGAAGACAGGCUCGACCUCGACCUCGGAGGAGCCUCCGCCUCGCCGACCCAGGGCUCGGACCGACCACGUCAUAGGAGGGGCCAUCAUUACCCUACCCCUAGCUAGCUCUGGCUACGGGGAACAAGACCGGCGUCCCAUCUGGCUCACCCCGGUGAAGCAAAUAAUGAUGGCGCCCCGCGUGCUCCAUGACGAUGGCGGCUCUCAGCCCCCUUACGGAAGCAAGGAGACGUCAGCAAGGACUCGACAGCCCCGACAGCUGUCCUCCCGCCAGGCUCCAGCGCUCCUCCGACGGCCACGACAUCUCAUGAACAGGGUGCCAAAACCUCUCCGGCUGCCACGACGACAUGUACUUAGGGCACUAGCUCCUCUCUGCUAGACACGUUAGCACACUGCUACAUCUCCCAUUGUACACCUGGACCCUCUCCUUACGCCUAUAAAAGGAAGGUCCAGGGCCCUCUUACAGAAGGUUGGCCGCGCGGGGAAGGACGGGACGGCGUGCGCAUAAGCCUCUCGCUCCCUCCCGCGCGGACGCUUGUAACCCCCUACUGCAAGCGCACCCGACCUGGGCGCGGGACAAACACGAAGGCCGCGAGUUUCCCCUUUUACGCCUGUCUCCCUCCGGCUUUUCCCCCCUUCGUGCUCCGUCUCGCGCCGACCCAUCUGGGCUGGGGCACGCGGCGACAAUUUACUCGUCGAUCCAGGGACCCCCCGGGGUCGAAACGCCGACAGUUGGCGCGCCAGGUAGGGGCCUGCUGCGUGUUGACGAACAUCUUCCCGUCAAGCUCCAGAUGGGUAGUCUCCAGCAACCUUUCCAGCCCGGGACGGUGCUCCGUUUCGGGAGUCUUGAGUUCAUGUCCCUCGACGGCAGCUACGACAUGAUACUCCUUCCCCUGCCGCGCGACAGCGACAAUGGCGGCCGACAACCCGCCCGCAGGCGGCGGAAUCGACGACGUCUUCCCCACGUGGCAGAAGAACAACAUUCGGGUUUGUCCCGUCGCCUCCCCCGUCGACGGAGGAGGAGGCGGGGCAACCAAGGCCAAGCAGGAGGCGGCACCUCGUCGACUGUCGAGCGAGUCGACGGCGCCGGCGCCCCAACGGGGGACACGUCGGGCAUCGACCUCGCGUCUGAGACGAAGACGAGCGUCGUUUCCCCGCAACACGCCAACUCCAAGCGGACGGACGACGCCAGCACGCUCGCAAAGGACUUGCUGGGCGUCACCCUCGUACCUGAGACGACGGUGCAGUCUGCCCCUGACGUGACUUCGUCACCGCCCGUCGACCAAGAGGUACCGACCGAUUCCCAUCUCGAGCCUUUUGGAUUCAACCUCAACCCACCAAGCGACUUCGCUUCGGUGGACGCUUUCCUAGAGGCGAGUCCAAACCCUCCGGGGUACGGUAUGCGGUCACCCUGGGACCGGCUGACAGCCGUCUCGACCUAUGGGCCCUCGGGUUCCGUGGAAGAUGACGAGCCCGACUUUUGUUGGGAUUUCUCCGGACUUGGUAACCCCAGUGCCAUGCGGGACUUCAUGACCGCAUGCGACUACUGCCUUUCCGAUUGUUCCGACGGUAGCCGCAGCUUCGGCAACGAGGACUGCUGUCCAAGUCGUGAAUGUUUCCACGUCGAUCUAGGGGGUCCCGGCGAAGGCAACCAUCUUGGUAUACCGAAAAACGGUGAUCCCCCUAGGCCUGCGCCUCGCGUUGACAUCCUUCGGGAGCUAGCUGUGGUCCCAGUCCCUGCGGGGGGGGGGGGGUCAGGACUCACAGCUCGAGCAAAUCCGCGAGAUGCAGGCCAGGCUCGACGAGGGAGCAGGAACACUUGAGCCGUUCCGCCGGGACAUCGGGCAGGAAUGGGCAGGCCAACCUCCGGCCGGAGAAGCACGUCAUCUACCCCAGGGCAUCCAGCACCGCAUCGCCGACGAUGUCAGGGCAAGGCCGCCACCGGCUUCCAGUGGGGUCGGCCAGAACCUGGCUGCAGCGGCAAUACUUCUCCGCGCGAUGCCGAAACCAUCAACCACCGAGGGGCGACGUAUCCAGGGAGAGCUCAAGAAUCUCCUGGAGGAUGCCGCGGUCCGACGGGACGAAAGCUCUGCCUCCCGAAGGCAGGGAUACCCCUCGGAGCAUCGCGCCGCGACUUCCCGAUUCAUGCGGGAAGCCUCGGUCCACAACGGGCGCACUCGCAACACAGCGCCCGCGGCCCCGGGUCGCCUCGGCAACGAGCACCAUCACCGCAACCGUCGAGCCCACCUCGAUGAGAAGGUGCGCCGAGGCUACCACCCUAGGCGCGGGGGACACUACGACAGCGGGGAGGAUCGGAGUCCCUCGCCCGAACCACCCGGUCCGCAGGCUUUCAGCCGGGCCAUACGACGGGCGCCGUUCCCGACCCGGUUCCGAACCCCGACUACUAUCACAAAGUACUCGGGGGAGACGAGGCCGGAACUGUGGCUCGCGGACUACCGACUGGCCUGCCACCUGGGUGGAACGGACGAUGACAACCUCAUCAUCCGCAACCUCCCCCUGUUCCUCUCCAACACCGCUCGAGCCUGGCUGGAGCAUUUGCCUCCGGGGCAGAUCUCCAACUAGGACGACCUGGUCCAAGCCUUCGCCGGCAAUUUCCAGGGCACAUACGUGCGCCCUGGGAACUCCUGGGAUCUCCGAAGCUGCCGCCAGCAGCCGGGAGAGUCUCUCCGAGACUACAUCCGGCGAUUCUCGAAGCAGCGCACCGAGCUGCCCAACGUCACCAACUCGGAUGUCAUCGGCGCGUUCCUCGCCGGCACCACCUGCCGCGACCUGGUGAGCAAGCUGGGUCGCAAGACCCCCACCAGGGCGAGCGAGCUGAUGGACAUCGCCACGAAGUUCGCCUCUAGCCAGGAGGCGGUUGAGGCCAUCUUCCGGAAGGACAAGCUGCCCCAGGGCCGCCAGCCGGAAGAUGUCCCUGAGGCGUCCACUCGGUGCGGCACCAAGCAGAAAGGCAAGAAGAAGUCGCAAGCGAAACGCGACGCCGCCGAUGCGGACCUUGUCGCCGCCGCUGAGUACAAGAACCCUCGGAAACCUCCAGGAGGCACCAAUCUCUUCGACAAGAUGCUCAAGGAGCCGUGCCCCUAUCAUCAGGGGCCCGUCAAGCACACCCUUGAGGAAUGCGCCAUGCUUUGGCGCCACUUUCACAAGGCUGGGCCACACUGCGAAAGGUGGCAGGGCCCACGAUGACGACAAGAAGGAGGAUCGCAAAGCAGGAGAGUUCCCCGAGGUCCACGACUGCUUCAUGAUCUACGGUGGGCAAGUGGCAAACGCCUCGGCUCGGCACCGCAAGCAAGAGCGUCGGGAGGUCUGCUCGGUAAAGGUGGCGGCGCCAGUCUACCUAGACUGGUCCGACAAGCCCAUCACCUUCAACCAAGGCGACCACCCCGACCACGUGCCGAGUCCGGGGAAAUACCCGCUCGUUGUCGACCCCGUCAUCGGCAACGUCAGGCUCACCAAGGUCGUCAUGGACGGAGGCAGCAGCCUCAACAUCAUCUACGCCGAGACCCUCGGGCUCCUGCGGAUCGAUCUGUCCUCGGUCCGGGCGGGCGCGGCGCCUUUUCACGGGAUCAUCCCCGGGAAACGCGUCCAGCCCCUCAGACAACUCGAUCUACCCAUCUGCUUCGGGACUCCCUCCAACUUCCGAAGGGAAACCCUCACGUUCGAGGUGGUCGGGUUCCGAGGAACCUACCACGCGGUGUUGGGGAGGCCAUGCUACGCCAAGUUCAUGGCCGUCCCCAACUACACCUACCUCAAGCUCAAGAUGCCGGGCCCCAAUGGGGUCAUCACCGUCGGCCCCACGUACCGACACGCGUACGAAUGCGACGUGGAGUGCGUGGAGUACGCCGAGGCCCUCGCCGAAUCCGAGGCCCUCAUCGCUGACCUGGAGAGCCUCUCCAAGGAGGCGCCAGACGUGAAGCACCAUGCCGGCAACUUCGAGCCAGCGGAGACGGUUAAGUCCGUCCCUCUCGACCCCAGCAACGACACCUCCAAGCAGAUCCGGAUCGGCUCCGAGCUCGAUCCCAAAUAGGAAGCAGUGCUCGUCGACUUUCUCCGCGCAAACGCCGACGUUUUUGCGUGGAGUCCCUCGGACAUGCCCGACAUACCGAGGGAUGUCGCCGAGCACUCGCUGGAUAUCCGAGCUAGAGCCCGACCCAUGAAGCAGCCUCUACGCCGAUUCGAUGAAGAAAAGCGUAGAGCCAUAGGCGAGGAGAUCCACAAGCUAAUGGCAGCGGGGUUCAUCAAUGAGGUAUUCCAUCCCGAAUGGCUCGCCAACCCUGUGCUUGUGAGAAAGAAAGGAGGGAAAUGGCGGAUGUGUGUAGACUACACUGGUCUAAACAAAGCAUGUCCAAAAGUUCCCUACCCUCUGCCUUGCAUCGAUCAAAUCAUGGAUUCCACUGCUGGGUGCGAAACCCUGUCUUUCCUCGAUGCCUACUCAGGGUAUCACCAAAUCAGAAUGAAAGAGUCCGACCAGCUCACGACUUCUUUCAUCACACCUUUCGGCAUGUACUGCUAUGUUACCAUGCCGUUUGGUUUGAGGAAUGCGGGUGCGACAUACCAAAGGUGCAUGAACCACGUGUUCGGCGAACACAUUGGUCGAACGGUCGAGGCUUACGUCGAUGACAUCAUAGUCAAGACGAGGAAAGCCUCCGACCUCCUUUCCGACCUUGAAGCGACAUUCCGGUGUCUCAAGGCGAAAGGCGUAAAACUCAAUCCUGAGAAGUGCGUCUUCGGAGUCCCCCGAGGCAUGCUCUUGGGGUUCAUCGUCUCCGAGCGGGGCAUCGAGGCCAACCCGGAGAAAAUCGCGGCCAUCACCAACAUGGGGCCCAUCAAGGACUUGAAAGGCGUACAGAGGGUCACGGGAUGCCUUACGGCUCUGAGCCGUUUCAUCUCGCGCCUCGGCGAAAGAGGCCUGCCUCUGUACCGCCUCUUAAGGAAGGCCGAGUGCUUCACUUGGACCCCUGAGGCCGAGGAAGCCCUCGAGAACCUGAAGGCGCUCCUCACGAACGCGCCUAUCUUGGUGCCUCCCGCUGCCGGAGAAGCCCUCUUGAUCUACGUCGCCGCUACCACUCAGGUGGUCAGCGCCGCGAUCGUGGUUGAGAGACGAGAAGAGGGGCAUGCAUUGCCUGUCCAGAGGCCAGUCUACUUCAUCAGUGAGGUACUGUCCGAGACCAAGAUCCGCUACCCACAAAUUCAGAAAGCUGUUGUACGCGGUGAUCCUGACGCGGCGGAAGUUGCGACACUACUUCGAGUCUCAUCUGGUGACUGUGGUGUCAUCCUUCCCCCUAGGGGAGAUCAUCUAGUGCCGAGAGGCCUCGGGUAGGAUUGCAAAGUGGGCAGUGGAAAUCAUGGGCGAGACAAUCUUGUUCGCCCCUCGAAAGGCCAUGAAGUCCCAAGUCUUGGCGGACUUUGUGGCUGAAUGGGUCGAUACCCAGCUACCAACAGCUCCGAUCCAACCAGAACUCUGGACCAUGUUUUUCGAUGGGUCGCUGAUGAAGAUAGGGGCAGGCGUGGGCCUGCUCUUCAUCUCGCCCCUCGGGAAGCACCUACGCUACGUGCUACGCCUCCACUUUCCGGCAUCCAACAAUGUGGCCGAGUACGAGGCUCUGGUCAAUGGGUUGCGCAUCGCCAUCGAGCUAGGGGUCCGACGCCUCGAGCUCGCGGUGACUCGCAGCUCGUCAUUGACCAAGUCAUGAAGAACUCCCACUACCGCGACCCGAAGAUGGAAGCCUACUGCGAUGAGGUUCGGCGCCUGGAGGACAAGUUCUACGGGCUUGAGCUCAACCACAUCGCCCGACGAUACAAUGAGACUGCGGACGAGCUGGCUAAGAUAGCCUCGGGGCUGACAACGGUUCCCCCGGACGUCUUCUCCCGAGACCUGCAUCGACCCUCUGUCAAGACCGACGACGCGCCCGAGCCCGAGCCCGAGCCCGAGCCCGAGAAGGCCUCGGCUCAGCCCGAGGCACCCUCGGCCUAGCCCGAGGCACUCUCGGCUCAGCCAGAGGCACCCUCGGCCCCCGAGGGUGAGGCACUGCGCGUCGAGGAGGAGCGGAGCGGGGUCACGCCUAAUCGGAACUGGCAGACCCCGUACCUGCAAUAUCUCCAACGAGGAGAGCUACCCCUCGACCGAGCCGAAGCUCGGCGGUUGGCACGGCGCGCCAGGUCGUUCGUCUUGCUGGGGGACGGGAAGGAGCUCUACCACCGCAGCCCCUCAGGCAUCCUCCAGCGAUGCAUAUCCAUCGCCGAAGGCCAGGAGCUCUUACAAGAAAUACACUCGGGGGCUUGCGAUCAUCACGCGGCGCCCCGAGCCCUUGUUGGAAAUGCCUUCCGACAAGGUUUCUACUAGCCGACCGCGGUGGCCAACGCCACUAGAAUUGUCUGCACCUGCCAGGGGUGUCAAUUCUACGCAAGGCAGACCCACCUACCCGCUCAGGCUCUACAGACGAUACCCAUCACCUGGCCGUUUGCUGUGUGGGGUCUGGACCUCGUCGGCCCCUUGCAGAAGGCACCCGAGGGCUACACGCACCUGCUGGUCGCCAUCGACAAAUUCUCCAAGUGGAUCGAGGUCCGACCCCUAAACAGCAUCAGAUCCGAACAGGCGGUGGCGUUCUUCACCAACAUCAUCCAUCGCUUUGGGGUCCCAAACUCCGUCAUCACCGACAACGGCACCCAGUUCACCGGCAGAAAGUUCCUGGACUUCUGCGAGGAUCACCACAUCCGGGUGGACUGGGCGCCGUGGCUCACCCCACGACGAAUGGGCAAGUAGAGCGUGCCAACGACAUGAUUCUGCAAGGACUCAAGCCGUGGAUCUACAACGACCUCAACAAGUUCGGCAAGCGAUGGAUGAAGGAGCUCCCCUCGGUGGUCUGGAGCCUGAGGACAACGCCGAGUCGAGCCACGGGCUUCACACCGUUCUUUCUAGUCUAUGGGGCCGAGGCCAUCUUGCCCACAGACUUAGAAUACGGUUCCCCGAGGACGAAGGCCUACGACGACCAAAGCAAUCGAGCUAACCGAGAAGACGCACUGGACCAGCUGGAAGAGGCUCGGGACAUGGCCUUACUACACUCGGCGCGGUAUCAGCAAUCCCUGCGACGCUACCACGCCUGAGGGUUCGGUCCCGAGACCUCCAGGUGGGCGACUUGGUGCUUCGGCUGCGACAAGACGCCCGAGGGCGGCACAAGCUCACGCCUCCCUGGGAAGGGGCGUUCGUCAUCGCCAAGGUUCUGAAGCCCGAGACAUACAAGCUGGCCAAUAGUCAAGGCGAGGUCUACAGCAACGCUUGGAACAUCCGACCACUACGUCGCUUCUACCCUUAAGAUGCUUUCAAGUCGUUCAUACACCUCGUUCAGACACAAAGUCUAACCAUCAAGGAAGGGUCAGCCUUGCCUUGGCAAAGCCCGACCCUCCCUCGGGGGCUAGAAGGGGGGAACCCCCUCCGCGUCAAAAUUUUCCUCGGAAAAGAUCUUUUCUGCCAGAACGUCUUUCGUGCUUUUCGACUACUUCGAAAGUGGGAUCCUAAAAACGACAGAGUACACGUAAGCAGCCAAGACUGAUCGAGCCGAGGGACUCCUACGCCUCCGGGAUACGGAUACCUCACUCAUCACCUUUGCGAUAAGUAACUCACGCUCAGAUAAGUGAUUCCGCGGACCAAACAAGUCUUCACGCUCGAAAACUCUUCUGCCGAAACGAUUUUUCGGGCCUUCUCGACUAUAUCGAUGGCAGAAUCCUACGGGCGAGUAAGAGUACACGUAAGCGGCAAGGCCGACCGAGCCGAGGGACUCCUACGCCUCCGGGAUACGGAUACAUCACUCAUCACCUUCCGUGAAAAGUAACUCUCGAUCGGACAAACAAUUCUGUUACCGACAAAUAAGUCCAGAUACUCGAAACAAGGGGAAAAGAAACGCAACUUUACAACACGACAACAGUAUGUUUGGGCCUCGGCGGCCGCAGAAAACAUACGCACACUACAAGACAAACCGAUCCUGCAGGCUCGGACCUUGACGGAGGGGGAGCAGCAGCACCCUCGGCGUCAACUACACCUUCGGCAAAGUCCGAGCGAGCGUCGGACGUCAACGCGGUCGGAGGAUCUCCACUCCGAAGGACGACAUCAGCACCACGCCCGGGCCAUCACCGCCAGGGUCUUCUCCAGGAAUCCGGCCCGAGCAGACAGCUCGGCCGGCCACCCCGAAGCCUCAGCCAGCUGUCCCCCGAGGACAUCAGCCUGGCUCGUGGCCUCGACAACUCGACUCCGGCGUCGGUGCCGCCAGUGGACGGCCCGGCUAGGCUCCGGCCGACGAAGUAUUCUUUUCGAGCCAACUCUGCCUCUGUCCAUGCUGACACCGCUGCCUCCGGCUUCGGCUCAUCGAAGAGCGGCCGAGGGUUCCUAUAACUAAGCAAAAGAAGCCUCGGGCGACAAGGCCGACCGAGCCGAGGGACUCCCACGCCUCCGGGAUACGGAUACCUCACUCAUCACCUUCGCACGAGGCAACUCACACUUGGUUAAGCGGUUCGGUUAGCCGACAGGCGAGCCCUAGUGCUCGAAACGAGGAAAAAACAUAGCUCCGUGCCGAAAAUACAUACAUGUUCAGGCCCCGACAGCCACAAUGAACAAGACACCGGCACUCAAGGUGCCAUUACAAACGGAACUCCGGUUCCGCCUCCGCGGGUAUGAACAACCCCCCACAUUGGAGGGCCCGCGGGGCGAUAAGGCUCCAGGUGGCCCACCGCCGCCCGCUCCAGCAGCAGCGACAACGACCUCCGCUCCAGGUGGCCAAACUGCAGCGGCGAUGGCCUCAGGGCGGACGCCGCUGCAACAACGCCCUUGCCCACGUCUUCGCUCGAGGGGCGAGGACAAGCUAUCAAAGCCAAAGAGCCGGAGGCCCAGAGCGCGGAUGGUGGCGGUGAUCCCGUCGGCGACGAGGACUUCUUCAGCCGCCACCACCUCAGCGCCGACGACGGAAGCCAUCUGCCCACCGGCAGAUCCCCACUCGGAUCCUCCCGGACGAGCGGAGCACCGACCUCCGCGCAGAAGCGCCGUACCGGGGCAAAGGCAGGACAGCCCCAGAACACGAACGCCGCCCUAGCAGCGCGCGACGUCUUGGGCGGUCCUCCGGUGCGCGCGGCGCGACAACCGCUUUUGCGGCGGGAGGGGGCACCGGGAGCCGAGCCAGAGCCAGCUGAGCCAGCGAGCCCAACACGCUGAAGCUGACGACGCUCGCCGCCGACCAGCCCCGCGUUGUCGAAGUCCGACCCUCCCGCUAGGCUGGUGAGCGCCCUCUCCCUUGAAUGCUGAGGGAGAAGGUGACCCACGAACCCGCGCGAGAGGUAGAGCUCCGACUCAGCUCGGCCUCCACCCCAGCCAGGAUGAUGAAGAUCCUUGAAGCUGAGGGAGGGACCAAGAUCGCAGCCCGGCUCGCUUCUCCCCACCAUCGAACUGGUGGUCACCGUCUUGGGGACCACCGGCGAGGGGAUGCGGCCGGGCUGCCUGAUGAAAAUCCUUGAAGCCGAACGAUGGCUGAAAGGUACCAACUUCCGCGAAGUUGCAUUCCUCCAACGACAAGGCGGAAGGACUGCGAGUGUUCCCCAUUCGGGGGCUCGGAAGGUGGAAAGACGCGACGCAUGAGGGGAGCGCAAAGACAUGGCUGCCUUUCAAGGGGGUCACCCUCCUUUUAAAGGCAACUCUCCCCACUUGCGUCCUCAGCCAUCGCGGGUUGAGUCUUCUCCAACACGCUCCAAGGUCCUCCCCCUGCGACACGGGGGCUGGGUCCCACGCGUCAUGCAAGCUGGCCCAGGGCAGAAGAAGCCAAACCGCCGCGCGCGGCGCGCGCAACUGCCCGACGGUUACGAGCAUUCCUCCACCUUCGCCCAGACCAGCGGGUGAAAGGGCAGACCGCCAUGCAGGCGGCAUGCAACCGCACCAAGUGGGCGCACCCUUUCGACUCCAACGCGUCCAGCAUGGAGGCCCAGGCCCACACGUCAUGUAACCGGCGUGCCGGUUGCUACGUGCAAGAAACUGCACCGCCACUCACGCCACUAUCGUGCCUCCUCGACCGCGGAACCAGUACCGCGGCUUGAGGCAACCCUGCGCAUGACCCAACAGUGCCAACCAGGCACAUCGGUCACGGGUCAGUCAGCCACGGGAGAAGGCGCGACGGUCGAUACGACCAGAAAUGGGCCGGCAGUAAUGGCGGUGGCAGCGGUCAAGUCGUCAACCAAGCUCACGUCCCCUCCUGGGACAACGAGAGAACCCUCUCCCACGGCGUGAAGACGGUGCGCCCGUGUUCCGUUCCUCGAAUGGCUCGCGCACGCGCAACGGCUGCCCCACGAACCACUCGUCCCGUCGCAUUAACUCUGCGGUAGGACAUGCGUCACCUUUGGCAGGAGAAGCAGGCGACGCUUCACCUCCGCCAUAAUGACCGCGUCAAAAAAGGUGCGCCAUGUCAUUCGAUUUCGUAUCCUUUUCCUCUUCCUCUUUCUCUUACAACAGGGACCGGGAAAGGGGAUACCCCGAAAGGGAUCCUUCUCCACGAAGGAAAUGGGCCCCGAGCCCCCCUACUGAUCAGAGGUUCGAAGGCUGGCCCCUCGGAGGGGUUCAAUGGCCGCCUCAGAGCGCUCGAGCUCCGCGCCCACUACUGGUCAGAGGUUCGAAGGCUGGCCCCUCGGAAGGGUUCAACGACCGCCUCAGGCCACUCGGGCUCCGUGCCCACUACUGAUCAGGGGUUCGUAGGUUGGCCCUCGAAGGGUUCGAUAGCCGCCUCAGACGCAGAGCAAGGGAUGACCCUGGGUACGUUCGAUACAUAACCAAGGCUCGGGCUACGCUCCCGAGGUACCCUAGGACAUUUCCGAGACCAACGGGAACGAUUUUGUAACGGAAUCCCAUCAGAGGGAGGCAUCGAGCCCUCGGACCCCGUCAAAAGGGGAUCGGGUCCGGCAAAUCACCCGUAGGUACUUUUGGAGCGCGCCUCCGGGCCACUAGCCGACCCCUAGCAAAUGGGGCACGUGCGUCCACUCGGAUUACCCGUCAGCAGCUCACUGGAGACACCAUGUUCGGCGCCCUCCAAGGGCAACAUGGCGCUUUCCCCCUCCUCCUUGCGGAAAGGCGACGCAGGGGCGUAUGUACAAAAGUCGAGUCUAUCCUUGACCGUCCUCUCGCUCUGUGCGGAGGCUCGGGGGCUGCUCUCGCAAACCCGGCUCCGGCCAAACCGUUGGCAGCGUCAACAUACCAGCCCGAGAACUUGGGACCCGACCGUGCACCCGGGCUACGGCCAGCUCGCAUGAGGGAACAACCAAACCGGUCGAAGCAUCACAAAACGCACUAAGACCUCGAAGGAGUCAAACCACUCCUCCGAGCACUCGGGGGCUACACCCGGUGGGUGCGCUCGCGCGCACCCACCGGAACAAAACGCAACCGAGAAAGGCCGGUCCCCUUGCAAAAAAGUGCGACAAAAGCCUCCAAGCGAGUAUUAACACUCCCUUCGAGGCUCGGGGGCUACUGUCGGGGACCAUAAUUAGGGGUACCCCCAAGACUCCUAAUCUCAGCUAGUAACCCCCAUCAGCACAAAGCUGCAAAGGCCUGAUGGGUGCGAUUAAGUCAAGGCUCGGUCGACUCAAGGGACACGAUCUCGCCUCGCCCGAGCCCAGCCUCGGGCAAGGGCAGCCGACCCCGGAGGAUUCACGUCUCGCCCGAGGGCCCUCUCAAGCAACGGAUACACCUUCGGCUCGCCCGAGGCCCAGUCUCCGCCAAGAAGCAACCUUGGCCGGAUCGCCACACCGACCGACCGUGUCGCAGGAGCAUUUAAUGCAAAGGUGGCCUGACACCUUAUCCUGACACACGCCCUUCAGUCGACUGAGCCGAAGUGACCGCAGUCACUUUGGCGCUCCACUGACCGGCCUGACAAGAAGACAGCGCCGCCCGCGUCGCUCCGACUGUUGUGCCACUCGACGGAGUGAGGCUGACAGCGGCCAAGUCCGGCCUCGGGUGCCAUAGGAAGCUCCGCCUCGCCCGACCCCAGGGCUCGGACUCGGGCUCGGCCCCGGAAGACGACGAACUCCGCCUCGCCCGACCCCAGGGCUCGGACUCAGGCUCGGCCCCAGAAGACAAUGAACUCUGCCUCGCCCGACCCCAGGGCUCGGACUCGGCCUCGGCCCCGGAAGACGAAGAACUCCGCCUCGCUCGACCCCAGGGCUCGGACUCGGCCUUGGCCCCGAAAGACAACGAACUCCGCCUCGCCCGACCCAGGGGCUCGGACUCGACCUCGACCUCGGAAGACAGACUCAACCUCGACCUCGGAGGAGCCUCCGCCUCGCCCGACCCAGGGCUCGGACCGACCACGUCACAGAAGGGGCCAUCAUUACCCUACCCCUAGCUAGCUCUGGCUACGGGGAACAAGACCGACGUCCCAUCUGGCUCGCCCCGGUGAAGCAAAUAAUGAUGGCGCCCCGCGUGCUCCAUGACGACGGCGGCUCUCAGCACCCUUACGGAAGCAAGGAGACGUCAGCAAGGACUCGACAGCCCCGAUAGCUGUCCUCCCGCCAGGCUCCAGCGCUCCUCCGACGGCCACGACAUCUCAUGAACAGGGUGCCAAAACCUCUCCGGCUGCCACGACGGCAUGUACUUAGGGCACUAGCUCCUCUCUGCUAGACACGUUAGCACACUGCUACAUCUCCCAUUGUACACCUGGACCCUCUCCUUACGCCUAUAAAAGGAAGGUCCAGUGCCCUCUUACAGAAGGUUGGCCGCGCGGGGAAGGACGGGACGGCGCGCGCAUAAGCCUCUCGCUCCCUCCCGCGCGGACGCUUGUAACCCCCUACUGCAAGCGCACCCGACCUGGGCGCGGGACAAACACGAAGGCCCCGGGUUUCCCCUUUUACGCCUGUCUCCCUCCAGCUUUUCCCCCCUUCGCGCUCCGUCUCGCGCCGACCCAUCUGGGCUGGGGCACGCGGCGACAAUUUACUCGUCGGUCCAGGGACCCCCCGGGGUCGAAACGCCGACAAUGGGUAACACGACUUGUGGGUAAAGAUGUGCAAUCUCUGCAGAGUGUAAACUGGUAUAUCAGUUGUGCUCACGGUCAUGAGCAGCUCGGACCCUCACAUGAGUAACUUAUGGAAUUAAAUUUAAUUAGUCAUUUGCAUCGCAUUAUGGUUUAUUAUUAAUUUUGAUCUAUUAUUACUCUUGUUUGGUAUAUACUUACAUUUAGUAUCUGCUAAUAAAAUUUGACCAACUUAUUAAAAACAAUGCUCAGCUUUAACCAUCUCCUUUGGUAAGCCUUACACUUCACAUGAACUCCCACCUUUAGUGUGUUACCUUUGGUGAGUUCAUGCUGAAAGUCGCCUAGAGGGGGGGGGGGGGUGAAUAGGGCGAAUCUGAAAUUUAUAAACUUAAUCACAACUACAAGCCGGGUUAGCGUUAGAAAUAUAAUUGAGUCUGAGAGAGAGGGUGCAAAACAAAUCGCAAGCGAAUAAAGAGUGUGACACGUGGAUUUGUUUUACCGAGGUUCGGUUCUUGCAAACCUACUCCCCGUUGAGGUGGUCACAAAGACCGGGUCUCUUUCAACCCUUUCCCUCUCUCAAACGGUCCCUCGGACCGAGUGAGCUUUUCUUCUCAAUCAGUUGGAACACAAAGUUCCCACAAGGACCACCACACGAUUGGUGUCUCUUGCCUCAAUUACAAGUGAGUUUGAUCUCAAGAAAGAAUGAGAAAGAAAGCAAUCCAAGCGCAAGAGCUCAAAAGAACACAACAAAUCUCUCUCACUUAUCACUAAAGCUUUGUGUGGAAUUGGGAGAGGAUUUGAUCACUUGGGUGUGUCUAGAAUUGAAUGCUAGAGCUCUUGUAAGUAGUUGGAAGGUGAAAAACUUGGAUGUCUUGAAUGUGGGGUGGUUGGGGGUAUCUAUAGCCCCAACCACCAAACUAGCCGUUUGGUGGAGGCUGCUAUCGCAUGGCGCACCAGACAGUCCGGUGCGCCACCGGACAGUGUCCGGUGCGCCACCGGACAGUGUCCGGUGCGCCAGCCACGUCACCUGGCCAUUGGGUUCCGAUCGUUGGAGCUCUGACUUGUGGGCCCGCCUGGCUGUCCGGUGGUGCAUCGGACAAGUCCUGUAGACUGUCCGGUGUGCCACCCGCGCCUGCUCUGCUCCUCUGCGCGCGUUGGCGCACAUUUAAUGCAUUGCAAUCGACCGUUGCGCGCGAAGUAGCCGUUGCUCCGCUGGCUCACCGGACAGUCCGGUGUGCACCGGACAUGUCCGGUGAAUUAUAGCGGAGCGGAAAUCCGAAGCUGGCGAGUUUAGAGUCGCUCUCCCUUGGGGCACCGGACAGUCCGGUGAAUUAUAGUGUAGCGCCUCUGAGAAUUCCCGAAGGUGAUGAGUUGGGCGUCGAGUUCCCUGGUGCACCGGACACUGUCCGGUGGCACACUGGACAUUCCGGUGCGCCAGACCAGGGAAGCCUUCGGUUAUCCCUUGCUCUCUUUUGUUGAACCCUUUUCUUGGUCUUUUUAUUGGCUUAGUGUGAACCUUUGGCACCUGUAUAACUUAUAGACUAGAGCAAACUAGUUAGUCCAAUUAUUUGUGUUGGGUAAUUCAACCACCAAAAUCAAUUAGGAAAUAGGUGUAAGCCUAAUUCCCUUUCACAUGCACAUUAUUCCCCACAACUUGUUGAGCGAUGCACGUAUGUGAGCUCACCCUUGCUGUACUCACAUCCCCCUCAGGUCAAGAACAGGUACCACUGGAUGAGGCGCAUGAAAGAUGUUGUGAUGAGUUCGUGAGUGGUCUAGGCCGUCAUCUCCUAGUCAACUAGGGUUGCUGGAUCCUUUUCUGCAUAUGAUGUAAUUAUUUAACUAUUUUGUACAUAACUCCUAUUAUAUAGUAAAGAUGUGACAUUCGUUUCUGUACCAUGAGUCAUCAUAUGUGUGAGACUUAGUCCAAGCACACUUGG